UACAGAGGGGGCAAGCGUUGUUCGGAAUUACUGGGCGUAAAGGGCGCGUAGGCGGCCUGCUAAGUCGAACGUGAAAUCCCCGGGCUCAACCCGGGAACUGCGUCCGAUACUGGCAGGCUUGAAUCCGGGAGAGGGAUGUGGAAUUCCAGGUGUAGCGGUGAAAUGCGUAGAUAUCUGGAGGAACACCGGUGGCGAAGGCGGCAUCCUGGACCGGCAUUGACGCUGAAUAGCGAAAGCCAGGGGAGCAAACGGG
rnacentral:rRNA from 1 species